UCUCAUUCUCUCUAUCUACCCUCUCUUUCUUUCUCUCUCUUCCCGCCCUCUCUCUCACUCACUCUCUUUCUCUACCUAGCCUCUCUACCACCUCUUUAUAUCCACCCCUCUCUCUCACCCUCUUUAUCUCUCUCUACUCAUCAUCUCUCUCUCUUUCUUUACCCACCAUCUCUCACUCCUCAGCCUGCAACCUACUCUAUAACCUUGAUUGAAGGCCACCCAACAAUCCUAAAACAAAUAGAAGAUAUCUCUCUCUAUCUCUCUCUCUCUCUCUAUUUGAGAUCAAAGAGCAAUGACUAAGGAAUAACUGCACAAGGAAUCCGGUCAGGAAACAAGUUUGGGUGGAAGAAACACUACAUUUUCAAGGUCCCAGCUUUCCUCAGAGACUUCUACACGCGAGCCUUCACACUGAAGCUCAUUUCCUUUGGUCCCUUCCACCAUGGUGACCGUUGCCUCCUAACCAUGGAAGCACACAAGAGCCGUGCCCUCGAGCAUUUUCUCGAAAGCUCAAGAAAUCUCGCCAGAACUCCGAAAAUGCUUUCCAAAAUGAGGAGAGUGAGCUUAAGGCCAGCUACCAAUGGGCUUUGAGCACCAAAAUCUUUUUCCCCGCAAAAAAAACUUCAGUUCAGCACUUAGUAUGCCGAACCAAAAUUCUUUUUGCAGUCUAGCACUUAGUGUGCUGUACCAAAAUUCUUUUUGCAGUCUGGCACAAAAACUUGUGCCAAACCGGUCAUGAGCUCAAAGUCCAGAGUUAGAGAGAGAGAUAGAAAGAUUAAAAAGGUAGGUUUAGGAGAGAUGAUAGUAGAGAGAGAGGGCAGGUCGAGAGAGAAAAAGAGAGUGAGGGAGGGCGGGUUAAGAGAGAGAGAGAGGGCCUUUAGAGAGAGAAAGAAAGAAAGCAAGAGGACAGGUAGAGAGAGAAAGAGAGAGUGAGAGAGAGGGUAGGUAGAGAGAAAACGAGAAUAAGAAAAGUAAGAAAAUGUGGGUGUGAUACUUAAAAAACAAAAAAAGAAGAAGCAAGUAAACACAUUGAGAGGGGAAAAAAUUUUAGUUUCAAUUUUUGGACUUUUUGACGAUGGUAAAUACAAAAAAAAAACAAUAUUUGGAUUGUGGUUGUGAUACUAAAAAUAUUAUGAAAUAAGAUGUCUACAAUCCACUGCAUUUUGAUCAUCACAAUAAAUUGUUGUGUAGUGCCUUGUAACCAAUUGAUAGAAUAAGGUUUCGAGUCCAAGAAAAGUCUGCUACAACACUAACUUGUAUUCAUCUUCUAUGCUUGAUCUUGCCACAAAUUUUUGCUUCUUUGCUUCUCCAUGAUGUCAUAUUUUUUCUGAAAUAAACACAAUUUCCUAAGACUUAUUUGCGUGAGUCAAGUCUCCUGGCCAAUUGUAAGCUUUCAAUCUUUUGUUAAGCGGUCAUUCAAAAUGAAGUGGGGUAAAUCGUGAUUUUUAAAUGGUCACAAGAUUAUAUUUUUAGUGAUGUUUUUUUCACCAAUUUUAUCAUUUUGAGAUAACAUUGUAUGCCCUUGUAAGUGGAAUACUUGCCGGCUUGCCUGUGGACGUAGCCCUAUGGGGUGAACCAUGUUAAAAUCGUGUUGUAGUUUGUCUCUCUAAUUUUCUUUCAUGAUUAUGUUUUCCAUCUCUAAUAUGUUUUAUUAAAUUGUUGCAAAUGAUCGUUGAGCUUAUUAUUGGAUUAUCGAUUUUACAUAUUUGGUAUUGAGUGUGUGAUAUUCGGUGAUCAGUUAAAUUGGGAUUUCGG
rnacentral:lncRNA from 1 species